UAUUGAUUCUGUUCUCAUUGCUGCUGCUUAAACUCAUAAAUCCAUAGUUUGUCAAAGUAUACUAGUAAGUUAAUGUAUAUGUUUAAAAACGCUGAAGGUAUAUACCAUGGAUCACAAAACAUGGAUGUAUAAAAAAUAGGUCGACAAUCGGCCUUCAGAACAAAUUAUACCCAAAACCUUAUGGUAUAAAUAAAAAUAAAAAGUACUUACUAGGUGCAAAAUUGUGUUAGUAUUUAAAGUCUUACAUAUAUAUUUCAUAGACUAUCAACUAUUAUAUUUGGUUCUGUUAUUGCUCAUCUCGGGUUACGAACUAACAAUAACUGUCCCAUGCAUAUAUGUAAAUUAUAUAUUAUAAUUAUUCCAACAGGGAAUUUUUAAAUCGCAAGUACUUUAAAUAAAUAGCAUAGUUCUAUUUUUCUUUUUUGAGUUCUUGAAUGAGGAGGUUAAUUGUUUAUCUGAGCUGCAAUUUAAACCUUUAUAUG
rnacentral:lncRNA from 1 species